rnacentral:ribozyme from 1 species
UGCCCAGUAACUCCUAUCCCUACCUCCACGCGGUACCGGCCGGAAACAACGGUUAACCUUAGGGAAGAUCGGAUAACCAACCCCGGUGGAAAUUUUGGUUGUAGGCUGACAGGUAAGG